rnacentral:rRNA from 1 species
UGGGGGAUAUUGCACAAUGGGCGAAAGCCUGAUGCAGCGACGCCGCGUGGGGGAUGAAGGCUUUCGGGUUGUAAACCUCUUUCGCUAUCGAACAAGGCCCGCUUAGGGUGGGUUGAGGGUAGGUGGAGAAGAAGCGCCGGCUAACUACGUGCCAGCAGCCGCGGUAAUACGUAGGGCGCGAGCGUUGUCCGGAAUUACUGGGCGUAAAGCGCACGCAGGCGGUUUGUUAAGUCAGAUGUGAAAUCCCCGGGCUCAACCUGGGAACUGCAUCUGAUACUGGCAAGCUUGAGUCUCGUAGAGGGGGGUAGAAUUCCAGGUGUAGCGGUGAAAUGCGUAGAGAUCUGGAGGAAUACCGGUGGCGAAGGCGGCCCCCUGGACGAAGACUGACGCUCAGGUGCGAAAGCGUGGGGAGCAAACAGG